UGAACGCUAGCGGCAGGCUAACACAUGCAAGUCGAGGGGCAUCGGGAGUAGCAAUACUUGCCGGCGACCGGCGCAAGGGUGCGUAACGCGUGAGCAACAUGCCCGUAUCAGGGGGAUAAUCCAUGGAAACGUGGUCUAAUACCCCAUAGUAAUUAUGUAAGGCAUCUUAUAUAAUUUAAAGCUUUGGUGGAUACGGAUUGGCUCGCGUGACAUUAGCUGGAUGGUAAGGUAACGGCUUACCAUGGCUACGAUGUCUAGGGGUUCUGAGAGGAAGGUCCCCCACACUGGAACUGAGACACGGUCCAGACUCCUACGGGAGGCAGCAGUGAGGAAUAUUGGACAAUGGAUGGAAAUCUGAUCCAGCCAUGCCGCGUGCAAGGAAGACGGCCCUAUGGGUUGUAAACUGCUUUUGUAUGGGAGCAAUAAGGGCUACGUGUAGUCCGAUGAGAGUACCAUACGAAUAAGCACCGGCUAACUCCGUGCCAGCCGCCGC
rnacentral:rRNA from 1 species